AAGUUUCAACAACGGAUCUCUUGGCUCUCGCAUCGAUGAAGAACGCAGCGAAAUGCGAUAAGUAAUGUGAAUUACAGAAUUCAGUGAAUCAUCGAAUCUUUGAACGCACCUUGCGCUCCUUGGUAUUCCUUGGAGCAUGCCUGUUUGAGUAUCAU
rnacentral:rRNA from 1 species